GUGGGGAAUAUUGGGCAAUGGGGGAAACCCUGACCCAGCAACGCCGCGUGAAGGAAGAAGGUUUUCGGAUCGUAAACUUCUAUCCUUGGUGAAGAUAAUGACGGUAGCCAAGAAGGAAGCCCCGGCUAACUACGUGCCAGCAGCCGCGGUAAUACGUAGGGGGCAAGCGUUGUCCGGAAUGAUUGGGCGUAAAGGGCGCGUAGGCGGCCUGGUAAGUCUGGAGUGAAAGUCCUGCUUUUAAGGUAGGAAUUGCUUUGGAUACUGUCGUGCUUGAGUGCAGGAGAGGUAAGCGGAAUUCCCGGUGUAGCGGUGAAAUGCGUAGAGAUCGGGAGGAACACCAGUGGCGAAGGCGGCUUACUGGACUGUAACUGACGCUGAGGCGCGAAAGUGUGGGGAGCAAACAGGAUUAGAAACCCCAGUAGUCC
rnacentral:rRNA from 1 species